UCAUUCUAGAAGCACCUUCCGGUACUUCUACUAUGUUACGACUUAUCUUAUCUUAAUAAUAAGAGCGACGGGCGAUGUGUGCAUAUUUUAGAGCUAAAAUCAAAUUAUUAAUCUUUAUAAUUUUACUAUCAAAUCCACUUUCAAUGAAUUUUUCAUUUUCAUAUCCAUAUAAAUAAUUUUAUUGUAACCCAUUUCUACUUAAAUAUAAGCUACACCUUGAUCUGAUAUAUUUUUUUAAUUUAAAAUUUAGAAAAUUAUUAUUCUUUUAAAAUAUUCUUAUAACGACGGUAUAUAAACUGAUUAACUAAUUUAAGUGAGGUCCAUCGUGGAUUAUCGAUUAUAGAACAGGUUCCUCUGAAUAGACUAAAAUACCGCCAAAUUUUUUAAGUUUCAAGAACAUAACUAAUACUACUCAAAUUUUUAAAUUUACGUUUUAAAUAAUAGGGUAUCUAAUCCUAGUUUUUCAUUAAAAUUUUCAAGCUUCAAUUUAUUUUUUAACAAAAUUAAUAAUAAUUUAAAAUUUCACCUAAUAAAUUAUUUUUUAAUUUAAAUAAACAAUUUAACUUAUUAUUGAAAAAAUUUUUUUGCAUCAUUUGUAUAACCGCGGCUGCUGGCACAAAUUUAGCCAAUACUCAAUAAUAUAUCUAUUUCUAAAUUUCUUCAAUCAAUAAUACUAAUUACUGCGGAUUCUAUAUAAAUUACUUAUUUUUAAAAUAAAUAAAAAUUCUCGCAAAAACUUGCAUAUAAAAUAAACUUAUAAAAAAUUCUAAAGCCAAAAUAAAAC
rnacentral:rRNA from 1 species